UACAGAGGUCUCAAGCGUUGUUCGGAUUCAUUGGGCGUAAAGGGUGCGUAGGCGGCGCGGUAAGUCGGGUGUGAAAUUUCGAGGCUUAACUUCGAAACUGCAUUCGAUACUGCCGUGCUUGAGGACUGGAGAGGAGACUGGAAUUUACGGUGUAGCGGUGAAAUGCGUAGAUAUCGGAAGGAACGCCCGUGGCGAAAGCGAGGUCCUGGACGUCUACUGACGCUGAGACGCGAAAGCUAGGGGAGCAAACGGG
rnacentral:rRNA from 1 species